rnacentral:rRNA from 1 species
UACGUAGGGGGCAAGCGUUAUCCGGAUUUACUGGGUGUAAAGGGAGCGUAGACGGCAGAGCAAGUCUGAAGUGAAAGCCCGCGGCCCAACUGCGGGACUGCUUUGGAAACUGCCCGGCUAGAGUGCUGGAGAGGUAAGCGGAAUUCCUAGUGUAGCGGUGAAAUGCGUAGAUAUUAGGAGGAACACCAGUGGCGAAGGCGGCUUACUGGACAGUAACUGACGCUGAGGCGCGAAAGCGUGGGGAGCAAACAGG